rnacentral:rRNA from 1 species
UACGGGGGUGGCAAGCGUUGUUCGGAAUUACUGGGCGUAAAGGGCGCGUAGGCGGGGAGGUAAGUCGGGUGUGAAAUCCCUCGGCUCAACCGAGGAACUGCGCCCGAGACUGCCUUUCUUGAGUCCCGGAGAGGAAGGUGGAAUUCCCGGUGUAGCGGUGAAAUGUGUAGAUAUCAGGAGGAAUACCGAUGGCGAAGGCAGGUCUCUGGGCUGACACUGACGCUCAUGCACGAAAGCGUGGGGAGCAAACAGG